rnacentral:rRNA from 1 species
CCUACGGGAGGCUGCAGUGAGGAAUAUUGGUCAAUGGGCUUACGCCUGAACCAGCCAAGUCGCGUGAGGGAAGACUGCCCUAUGGGUUGUAAACCUCUUUUGUCAGGGAGCAACGCCGGCUACGUGUAGCCGGACUGAGAGUACCUGAAGAAAAAGCAUCGGCUAACUCCGUGCCAGCAGCCGCGGUAAUACGGAGGAUGCGAGCGUUAUCCGGAUUUAUUGGGUUUAAAGGGUGCGUAGGCGGAAUGCCAAGUCAGCGGUAAAAGCGCGGGGCUCAACCUCGCUCUGCCGUUGAUACUGGCGUUCUAGAGUGGGCGAGAGGUAGGCGGAAUGUGUGGUGUAGCGGUGAAAUGCAUAGAGAUCACGCAGAACUCCGAGUGCGAAGGCAGCAUACCGGCGCCCAACUGACGCUGAAGCACGAAAGCGUGGGGAUCGAACAGGAUUAGAUACCCUUGUAGUC